GACGUAGGGCGCGAGCGUUGUCCGGAUUUAUUGGGCGUAAAGAGCUCGUAGGCGGCUUGUCGCGUCGUCCGUGAAAACCCACAGCUCAACUGUGGGCUUGCGGUCGAUACGGGCAGGCUAGAGUUCGGUAGGGGAGACUGGAAUUCCUGGUGUAGCGGUGAAAUGCGCAGAUAUCAGGAGGAACACCGAUGGCGAAGGCAGGUCUCUGGGCCAUAACUGACGCUGAGAAGCGAAAGCAUGGGGAGCGAACAGG
rnacentral:rRNA from 1 species